rnacentral:rRNA from 1 species
CAUGCCUAACACAUGCAAGUCGAACGGAAACGAUGCUAGCUUGCUAGCAGGCGUCGAGUGGCGGACGGGUGAGUAAUGUAUAGGGAUCUGCCUAGUAGUGGGGGACAACAUGUGGAAACGCAUGCUAAUACCGCAUACGCUCUACGGAGGAAAGUGGGGGACCUUUCGGGGCCUCAUGCUACUAGAUGAACCUAUAUUGGAUUAGCUUGUUGGUAAGGUAAUGGCUUACCAAGGCUACGAUCCAUAGCUGGUUUGAGAGAAUGAUCAGCCACACUGGGACUGAGACACGGCCCAGACUCCUACGGGAGGCAGCAGUGGGGAAUAUUGCACAAUGGGCGCAAGCCUGAUGCAGCAAUGCCGCGUGUGUGAAGAAGGCCUUAGGGUUGUAAAGCACUUUCAGACGUGAGGAAAAGUAAUAAUUUAAUAAAUUGUUACCUUGACGCUAACGUCAGAAGAAGGACCGGCUAACUCCGUGCCAGCAGCCGCGGUAAUACGGAGGGUCCAAGCGUCAAUCGGAAUUACUGGGCGUAAAGCGCGCGUAGGCGGGAUAUUUAAGUCAGAUGUGAAAUCCCUGGGCUCAACCUUAGGAACUGCAUUUGAUACUGGAUAUCUAGAGUAUGGUAGAGGGUGAGUGGAAUUUCAGGUGUAGCGGUGAAAUGCGUAGAGAUCUGAAGGAACAUCAGUGGCGAAGGCGACUCACUGGGCCAUUACUGACGCUGAGGUGCGAAAGCGUGGGUAGCAAACAGGAUUAGAUACCCUGGUAGUCCACGCCCUUAAACGAUGUCAACUAGGAGUAUGGGAGUUUAACUCCUGUGUAUCGAAGCUAACGCGAUAAGUUGACCGCCUGGGGAGUACGGUCGCAAGACUAAAACUCAAAUGAAUUGACGGGGGCCCGCACAAGCGGUGGAGCAUGUGGUUUAAUUCGAUGCAACGCGAAGAACCUUACCUGGUCUUGACAUGUAGCGAAGGUUUUAGAGAUAGAACUGUGCCUUCGGGAACGCUAACACAGGUGCUGCAUGGCUGUCGUCAGCUCGUGUCGUGAGAUGU